UACGUAGGGUGCAAGCGUUAUCCGGAAUUAUUGGGCGUAAAGAGCUUGUAGGCGGUUUGUCGCGUCUGCUGUGAAAUUUCGGGGCUCAACCCCGAACUUGCAGUGGGUACGGGCAGACUAGAGUGUGGUAGGGGAGACUGGAAUUCCUGGUGUAGCGGUGAAAUGCGCAGAUAUCAGGAGGAACACCGGUGGCGAAGGCGGGUCUCUGGGCCGAUACUGACGCUGAGGAGCGAAAGCGUGGGGAGCGAACAGGA
rnacentral:rRNA from 1 species